rnacentral:rRNA from 1 species
GUGCCAGCAGCCGCGGUAAUACCGGCAGCUCAAGUGAUGACCGAUUUUAUUGGGCCUAAAGCGUCCGUAGCUGGCCAAGCAAGUCUGUCGGGAAAUCCACCCGCCCAACGGGUGGGCGUCCGGUAGAAACUGGCCGGCUUGGAACCGGAAGGCUCAGAGAGUACGUCCGGGGUAGGAGUGAAAUCCCGUAAUCCCGGACGGACUACCGAUGGCGAAAGCACUCUGAGAAGACGGCUUCGACAGUGAGGGACGAAAGAUGGGGUCUCAAACCGGAUUAGAAACCCGAGUAGUCC